rnacentral:rRNA from 1 species
AGUGAACGCUGGCGGUAGGCCUAACACAUGCAAGUCGAACGGCAGCACAGUAAGAGCUUGCUCUUACGGGUGGCGAGUGGCGGACGGGUGAGGAAUACAUCGGAAUCUACUUUUUCGUGGGGGAUAACGUAGGGAAACUUACGCUAAUACCGCAUACGACCUACGGGUGAAAGCAGUGGAUCUUCGGACCUUGCGCGAUUGAAUGAGCCGAUGUCGGAUUAGCUAGUUGGCGUGGUAAAGGCCCACCAAGGCGACGAUCCGUAGCUGAUCUGAGAGGAUGAUCGGCCACACUGGAACUGAGACACGGUCCAGACUCCUACGGGAGGCAGCAGUGGGGAAUAUUGGACAAUGGGCGCAAGCCUGAUCCAGCAAUACCGCGUGGAUGAAGAAGGCCUUCGGGUUGUAAAGCCCUUUUGUUGGGAAAGAAAAGCAGCAGGUUAAUACCCCGCUGUUCUGACGGUACCCAAAGAAUAAGCAACGGCUAACUUCGUG